UUUUCUUCUUCAUCUUCUCC
rnacentral:miRNA from 1 species